rnacentral:rRNA from 1 species
UACGAAGGGGGCUAGCGUUGUUCGGAUUUACUGGGCGUAAAGCGCACGUAGGCGGAUCGAUCAGUCAGGGGUGAAAUCCCAGAGCUCAACUCUGGAACUGCCUUUGAUACUGUCGAUCUGGAGUAUGGAAGAGGUGAGUGGAAUUCCGAGUGUAGAGGUGAAAUUCGUAGAUAUUCGGAGGAACACCAGUGGCGAAGGCAGUCGGCUGGGCCGUUGCUGACACUGAGGCGCGACGAGCCGUGGG